GCACCUGUUGAGUGAAAAAGAAAAGGAAAAAAAAAAAAACCUUAUAGAGAGAGUUGAAGACUGCUGAAAAGAGGUGAAGCCAUUAUGAGUUGCCAGAAUGCUACCCCUGGGUUGAACAAAGGGUCUCAGCCCUGGCCAGAGAAUCUGGAGAAGAAUUCACACGGUGCAACUGCAAAGGAAGAUGCCAGCACAGUGCUGCUUGAGAAACAACUCACCCUGGGUGACUUUGUCCAAAUACAGAGAGCCUUUGAGAUAGCAGUGGCUUUUACAAGCAAAGAGAUUUGUUUCUAUGAUCUACUGUCCAAAGAAGAAUUUCCUUGUCAAUAUAAACUCCAAGGCCUGAAAGGAACACCAAUUUGUAUGGAUUAUUGGUAUAACCCUCUUGAUGCCAAUGAGUCAAUUCUUUCUUUUGGGGACAUAACUGGAAAGGUUCAAGUAAUUGCUUUCACAACGGCCUUGAUUUCCCUUUUUGAGCAUCCUGCUGGUGCAUGUGAAGAUGAAGAAGCAACAGUGACCAUUAACUGGGCAGAGCUGCGCCCUGGACAUCACAAAUGUUGCUAUACAUUAGGGCACAAACUUCAUCAUGGAGACUGGGUCAGACAAGUUACUUACAAUGCAUCUUUAGAUGCUAUUAUUUCCAGUACAACCAGCAAUACAAACACUGUGGUGCUGGCCUGGAGAGAGAAAUCCAAAAAGCAUCAUAAAAUGACAUCCUUCAACAUUGCCCAGGGCAUUCAUGCUUUUGAUUACCACUCUCAGCUCAAUUUAAUUGCAACUGCUGGCAUUGACAACAAAGUUUGCCUUUGGAACCCCUAUGUUGUCUCUAAGCCAGUUGGUGUACUUUGGGGUCACUCAGCCAGUGUGAUAGCUGUCCAGUUCUUUGCUGUAAGAAAACAACUUUUCAGUUUCUCCAGAGAUAAGGUUUUGAGACUCUGGGAUAUUCAGCAUCAACUGUCCAUCCAGAGGAUCUCUUGCUUUUUCCCCAAGAGUCAGGACUUCAGGUGUCUCUUCCACUUUGAUGAAGCCCAUGGACGACUCUUCAUCUCGUUCAAUAACCAGCUAGCUUUGCUGGCAAUGAAAAGUGAAGCCGGCAAGAGGGUGACAAGCCACAAGAAGGCAGUCACUUGUGUACUUUACAAUUCAGUCUUGAAGCAGGUAAUCAGCUCUGAUGUGGGGUCGACCGUUUCCUUCUGGAUGAUAGACACUGGGCAGAAAAUCAAACAGUUUACCGGUUGCCAUGGCAACGCAGAAAUCAGCACGAUGGCCCUAGAUGCAAAUGAGACGCGGCUUUUGACUGGCAGCACAGAUGGGACCGUAAAGGUCUGGGACCUCAACGGCUGUUGUCACCACACACUCAAUGUUGGGCAAGCGGGAGCUGUGGAUAUUUCACACAUCCUGGUUCUUAAGAAGACAAUCCUAGUUACAGGCUGGGACAGGUCUAUUACUGUGUUUCGACCUCAGAACUUCAAUCAGUUUUCCAUCCAGCCAGAAGAAUGGAAGGGAGGCAUUCAACACCAUGAUGAUAUAUUAUGCGCUGCAUUUUCACCCCCACAAACUCUUGUUACAGGGAGUUAUGAUGGAGAAAUUGUUCUGUGGAACAACAGCACAGAAAAUGCUCACUAUGUCCUUCACCCUGAUUACCAGAGGCUGCUAAAAUCAAAAUCGGAUGCAGGGCCUCAAAAGCUUCUUGGUGCUGGGAGGAGCCCCUCUACCCACCCCACAUAUGACCAGGCUACCCUGAGAUCCUGUUCCUUUGAGAUGGACACUGAGUGCAAUCAUGCUGUUAUGAGGCUUUGCUUCCUUGAGGCAAGAAAAAACAUCACAGGGACAGGGGGAGCCAACCUGGUAUCAUGUGGAGGAUCUGGGUAUGUCAGAUUCUGGGAUACAUUUAAGAAGCAACUUUUGGCUGAAUUUUUGGCUCAUAGUGGAGUUGGUUCUAUUAUUAUGUCUACUGAUAAAUCAAAUCGAUACCUCGCCACAGGAGAUCUGGAGGGGUGGUUAAAAAUCUGGAAUAUAGAGGAGUACUGUCUUAAUCCCAGCAAGAACAAACUCACACAGGCCCCAACUCUGAUAAGAUCGUUCCGGCCUCAUGAAGACUGGAUAAGCUCCUUAGAGAUGUGUGAGCUGGGCAGCCGCUCACUGAUUCUCUCCGCCUCUGCAGACUGCAGCGUUCGUGUGACUGAUGUCUGUGGUGUUCCUGUCCAGAUCUUUGGUCAGGAAAAGCAUUGGCAACUUGAAAACUGUUUUUCUGUUCCUAAAAGAGACACUAAUUUAAUGGGAAAUAAGAUUCAAGAGAAAAGCAUAAAGGAAAUUCCUUUAUUUUCUAAGGAGGAAUCAUGUUUAGAUCCAUCAAAACAUUCGCUACUUGAUAAGAAAACACACAGUGUCAGACCUUCAGAAGUCAUAAACUCAGGUGUGAAAUAUAUGGAAAGAAAUGUUUAUAAGAAAAAAACACAUGACCUUUACAAUGGUGGAAUUAUACAAAAAUCAUGCAGCAGUUUUAGGUCAUUAAGCAUUGGAACGUUGAAAGAGCUACCUGAAGUGAAUAAACCAGCUUUUCUUCUAGACCCUGAGAAAUACUUUAGGGAAGGCCCAGAGGAGCAGUGUCCCCAAAUUCCAGAGUUUCCAUCACUUUCUGAAACAUUGAAAGCAAUAUUUGAUGAGAAAAACCUGUUUCCCAAAGAAAUUCUGGAUCAUGAAAGAAGAGCCAAGCAGUUAUGUCAAGAAACAAAUAGUGAAGUGAAGAUAAAAAGAAAUAAGAAACCAUUGUAA
rnacentral:lncRNA from 1 species